UCUAGCUCAGCAUUUGCCAUACUACAUUGAAAUUAUUUCCUUAUGUGCCCAUCACUCCCCGUAGAUUGCAAACUCCUAGAGAAGGGCUCAACAGUGAGUGCUGAGGCUGCACAGAGGAGGAAGGCAGCACAAUGAUGGAAGGCUUCCUAAAGAGAUAACACUAACAAAGUUGCCCUUAGAAUUGGAGUGCCUGGGUUAGAACCCUGCUGGUACCACCUGCUUACUGCAUGCUGCUGAUGUGAGUUCAGGAGAAAACACUGGCAAGGACAGCAAAGAACAGGAGAACACUCUAGCUUCCCUGAUAGCAUUCAAGGUGCUGUCCAAACUGACUGUGAUGGCACCCUCCAGACAGACAGCGAUGCCACAUAUUCAAGAUGGCAGAAUCACUAUCAGCUUCAAUUCCUGAAUGACUGCAGAGCAAAAUUUCUUACCUGCAACAUACACUCUAUUUUCAGCCUCCCUGG